rnacentral:rRNA from 1 species
UACGUAGGGGGCAAGCGUUGUCCGGAAUUAUUGGGCGUAAAGAGCGCGUAGGCGGUCCGGUAAGUCGGCUGUGAAAGUCAAGGGCUCAACCCUUGAAAGCCGGCCGAUACUGUCGGACUAGAGUCCGGAAGAGGCGAGUGGAAUUCCGCGUGUAGCAGUGAAAUGCGUAGAGAUGCGGAGGAACACCGAUGGCGAAGGCAGCCCCCUGGGUCGACACUGACGCUCAGGCACGAAAGCGUGGGGAGCAAACAGG